GUGAGGAAUUUUCCGCAAUGGGCGAAAGCCUGACGGAGCAAUGCCGCGUGAAGGAUGAAGGCCUAUGGGUUGUAAACUUCUUUUCUCAGAAAAGAAUUAUGACGGUAUAUGAGGAAUAAGCAUCGGCUAACUCUGUGCCAGCAGCCGCGGUAAGACAGAGGAUGCAAGCGUUAUCCGGAAUGAUUGGGCGUAAAGCGUCUGUAGGUUGUUUAAAAAGUAUUCUGUCAAAGAUUAGGGCUUAACCCUAGAGAGGCAGAAUAAACUUUUAAGCUAGAGUUUGGUAGAGGCAGAGGGAAUUCCCGGUGGAGCGGUGAAAUGCGUAGAUAUCGGGAGGAACACCAAAGGCGAAGGCACUCUGCUGGGCCAAUACUAACACUGAGAGACGAAAGCGAGGGGAGCAAAUGGGAUUAGAAACCCGUGUAGUCC
rnacentral:rRNA from 1 species